rnacentral:rRNA from 1 species
CACGUAGGGUGCGAGCGUUGUCCGGAAUUAUUCGGGCGUAAAGAGCUCGUAGGCGGUGUGUCGCGUCGGCCGUGAAAACCUGCAGCUUAACUGUGGGCUUGCGGUCGAUACGGGCAUCACUGGAGUUCGGCAGGGGAGACUGGAAUUCCUGGUGUAGCGGUGAAAUGCGCAGAUAUCAGGAGGAACACCGGUGGCGAAGGCGGGUCUCUGGGCCGGAAUACUGACGCUGGAGGAGCGAAAGCCGUGGGGAGCGAACAGGA